GCCUGGGUGGCUCAGUCAGUUAAGCGUCUGACUUCGGCUCAGGUCGUGAUCUCACGGUUUGUGGGUUUGAGCCCCACAUUGGGCU
rnacentral:tRNA from 1 species